rnacentral:rRNA from 1 species
GACGAACGCUGGCGGCGUGCUUAACACAUGCAAGUCGAACGAAGUGGCGAACGAGUGAGUAACGCGUAAUCAACCUGCCCUUCAGAGGGGGACAACAGUUGGAAACGACUGCUAAUACCGCAUACUGAAGGAGGGGAUUGCGUCUGAUUGGCUAGUUGGAGGGGUAACGGCCCACCAAGGCGAUGAUCAGUAGGCGGGCUGAGAGGAUGAACGGCCAAAUGGGGACUGAGAAACGGCCCAGAAUCCUACGGGAGGCAGCAGUGGGGAAUCUUCCGCAAUGGAGGAAAGUCUGACGGAGCAAAGCCGCGUGAGUGAGGACGGCCGUCGGGUUGGAAAGCUCUGUUAAUCGGGACGCGGUACCGGAAGAGAAAGCCACGGCUAACUACGUGCCAGCAGCCGCGGUAAUAC